UACGGGGGAUGCAAGCGUUAUCCGGAUUUAUUGGGUUUAAAGGGUGCGUAGGCUGUGAGGUAAGUCAGCGGUGAAAUGCCCCCGCUCAACGGGGUGAAGUGCCAUUGAUACUGCCUUGCUGGAAUGCGGAUGCCGUGGGAGGAAUGUGUGGUGUAGCGGUGAAAUGCAUAGAUAUCACACAGAACACCGAUUGCGAAGGCAUCUCACGAAUCCGCGGUUGACGCUGAUGCACGAAAGCGUGGGUAUCAAACAGG
rnacentral:rRNA from 1 species